AUUGAACGCUGGCGGCAUGCCUUACACAUGCAAGUCGAACGGCAGCACGGGAGCAAUCCUGGUGGCGAGUGGCGAACGGGUGAGUAAUAUAUCGGAACGUGCCCAGUCGUGGGGAUAACGUAGCGAAAGCUACGCUAAUACCGCAUACGAUCUAUGGAUGAAAGCGGGGGAUCGCAAGACCUCGCGCGAUUGGAGCGGCCGAUAUCAGAUUAGGUAGUUGGUGAGGUAAAGGCUCACCAAGCCGACGAUCUGUAGCUGGUCUGAGAGGACGACCAGCCACACUGGGACUGAGACAGGCCCAGACUCCUACGGGAGGCGAGCAGUGGGGAAUUUUGGACAAUGGGCGCAAGCUGAUCCAGCAAUGCCGCGUGCAGGAUGAAGGCC
rnacentral:rRNA from 1 species